rnacentral:rRNA from 1 species
UACAGAGGUCUCAAGCGUUGUUCGGAUUCAUUGGGCGUAAAGGGUGCGUAGGCGGCGCGGUAAGUCGGGCGUGAAAUCUCGGAGCUUAACUCCGAAACUGCAUUCGAUACUGCCGUGCUUGAGGACUGGAGAGGAGACUGGAAUUUACGGUGUAGCGGUGAAAUGCGUAGAUAUCGUAAGGAAGACCAGUGGCGAAGGCGGGUCUCUGGACAGUUCCUGACGCUGAGGCAUGAAGGUCAGGGGAGCAAACGGG